AACCCAUGGUAAGGGCACCUUCUUAAUAAGUCCUUGUAUCUCUCCCACGCAUCAUCAAGUGUUUCUAAAUCCAUCUGCACAAAAGAAGAGAUAUCAUUACGCAAUUU
rfam:Gossypium hirsutum cultivar TM-1 chromosome 8, whole genome shotgun sequence